UUACUUGGUAAAUACUUCAAUGAUGGAGAACGAAGGAGCUUCCACCGUUUGUCCUCUCGACUCCGACAGCCCGUUGUUCCUGUCCGACGACGGCUUUGAGCCAGCCGGCGUUCUCUUCCCUCACGCUGCUUUCCAUUUCCCAUCGGAGGACGAAAAAGAGGCAUAAGACUUCAUGGACAAGGUAAGGUCUUAACCU
rnacentral:sRNA from 1 species